rnacentral:rRNA from 1 species
UGGCGGCAUGCCUAACACAUGCAAGUCGAACGAGAUCUUCGGAUCUAGUGGCGCACGGGUGAGUAACGCGUGGGAACCUACCUUUCAGAAUGGGACAACGUUUGGAAACGAACGCUAAUACCGUAUACGCCCUCCGGGGGAAAGGUCAGCCGCUGAAAGAGGGGCCCGCGUCUGAUUAGCUUGUUGGUAGGGUAAUGGCCUACCAAGGCUACGAUCAGUAGCUGGUCUGAGAGGAUGAUCAGCCACACUGGGACUGAGACACGGCCCAGACUCCUACGGGAGGCAGCAGUGGGGAAUAUUGGACAAUGGAGGCAACUCUGAUCCAGCAAUGCCGCGUGUGUGAUGAAGGCCCUAGGGUUGUAAAGCACUUUCAACGGUGAAGAUGAUGACGGUAGCCGUAGAAGAAGCCCCGGCUAACUUCGUGCCAGCAGCCGCGGUAAUACGAAGGGGGCGAGCGUUAUUCGGAAUUAUUGGGCGUAAAGGGCUCGCAGGCUGCUUGAACAGUUAGACGUGAAAUCCCCGGGCUCAACCUGGGAACUGCGUUUAAUACUAGCAAGCUAGAGAAAUAGAGAGGAAAGUGGAACUCCCAGUGUAGAGGUGAAAUUCGUAGAUAUUGGGAAGAACACCAGUGGCGAAAGCGACUUUCUGGCUAUUUUCUGACGCUGAGGAGCGAAAGCGUGGGGAGCAAACAGGAUUAGGUACCCUGGUAGUCCACGCCGUAACGAUGUGUGCUAGAUGUUGGAAGGUUUCCUUUCAGUGUCGCAGCUAACGCACUAAGCACACCGCCUGGGAAGUACGGUCGC